rnacentral:lncRNA from 1 species
UUUUGAAAUUCACAACGAAAGUUUUGGGUUUGCAUGAAAGCAUGCUAAUCCUAAUUGAAAUCGUGCUCGGAGGACUUGAUCUCCGAAAACAUUAUCGUUCAAGUCUCAACAUUUUAUCAAUCCAAUCAAAAAUGAUUGCGUUAAUUGAGAAAAAAGAGGCAGACGUGCCUCCUCCCACGUGUUCGGUCAUUAAAAAUUGAGAAAACGAUUGCAAAACAAGAAAGUUUACCUAUAGCACGAUUACGAGAAGCCUGGAGGGAUCGUAAAGUGAGACAAUCGGACUGAGACGUGUGUACAAGUGUCGACGAUAAACCCGCAGAGGGCAGGUCAUUCGUCGAUGCCCCUGACGCCCCUGACGAUCGUAGAUAUACGUGCGUGACUAAUAAACAGAAAAUAUGAUGGAACUUGCGAUCACUGUGGGAUGAAAGUUAAAUAAAUAAGUGCGACGAGAACGAGGAACGAGGAGCGAAUGGGAUUAAAUUUUAUGAGGAAAAAUCUCCGAGCCGACGAGAUGCUGAGCACCACAGUCCAAGCCAUGCUGGAACGACUUUAACACGUUUGUGCUCAGGAGACUCGGUGUCACGACGCUUCAAAGCCUUCCAUGGAUGAUGAAAUUAAAAAAAUUUGUAAUUCACACAAUUUUCACUGGUUAAUCGAUGCUAAUUGGGCGGGGCAGACUUUUUCGCGGAAUUCGAAAGGACCCGGGGGCCACGAGACUGUCUUGGAUCGAGUUACGAAAGCUUUGGCGUCGAAUCGAUUUUGCAGCAGAAAAAAACUUGAAACUUUUUGCUGCGAUGCCGCCAAAACGGUGGGAAAUGGGGCGGGAAUCGAGGCUAAAUUUUUGAGGUUAGAAGAUUCUAUAACAAUGAUUUUCACGUGGAUUUUCUAUCUUCGAUAGUUCGAGGAGGAGAGCAGUUUGAAGGUACGCGAAAAACCCUCAUCCUCGGAACUCAAACUUUUUUCAGCCAGUUUUUCAGCCUGCUCAAUAAACUAGAAAACCGAAAGUAAGCGAAUUCGUGAGGAACUAUUUUCUCGGGAAUUUUUUACUCUACGAAAAUCGACAGCAGCUCGACACAACUCGAACGGUAAUUUGAUCGAGAACUCGGGCUCACACUGCGGUGAACGCCACACCUAGAAUCGCUCUCGGAUAUAUUUAUGUUCCAUCGAUCAUUGUCAUUUUUCGUUCACUCGUUCCGUCUCCACAAUUUGUGACCUUUCCUGCUCAUCGCUUUCCGUCCCGUGCGUGCGUCGGUCAAGUCCAACGAACAAAUACAACGGCAUUAACACGUACUCGAUAAAUAUUUCACGUCGAACUUUUCCGUUCUCGAAAACGCACAAAAGACUCUGGAACAGAAAAACUUUUCGUAAGAAAUUAUCGACGAUCUCAAAUUUUCAGUGCUGGAGUCUCAGAAAAUUCAGCCUCUUAUGGGACAAAGUGAACAAUGAUUAAAACAUAAAAAAUGCGAAAACUUUCACCAUUGCACGAACGAAUGAGUGCAUCUUCUCAAUACCACUGAACUAUUUCGAAAAUAAAGUUUUUAGGAAACAUUCGUAAAUUCAUUAAGAGUCAAAAAGCUUUGGAUCAUUUUUCUGUCAAAAAUGUCCGCUUGUGCGUCGAAAAAAUCUCAGGCCGUUCACCCGGGCUUCGAAUCAGCCCAGAAAGAAUCGUUUCGCCAAGAGUAAAUUUUCCAACACGCUAAAAAAUGUGAACGGUAAUACCGUAAAGCAAAAUGGUCCAUCACGAAGUUGGUUUCGUUUAAAGAUUUUAUGGGAAUCCCCAAGUGCUGAAAAUGUGGCUUCAAAAUGCUCGACGUGGAGGGGGUUCCCAACGAAUUCGCGAAUCUCUCUGAGCGAAGACGAAAGUAUUGAUUUCUGUAGGGAAAAAAAACUUGGCAUAAGAAUUACUAAGCUCGUGCGAGUUGUUCAAAUCUGAAUACAAAUGUGACAGAAGUGCAUACAGAAAACAGCAGCGUACCCGUGUUAGCCAUCGCAUGAAAAUUGUUUCUCAGAACAAGACACACCGAGUGGCAUCUCGUUACAAAAUUGCGCAACUGUGAGUCACGAAUAAGCGAGAUGCAGACCUCGUACAAAGUCAUACGUCGUCUGAUACUACUCGUCAAAGAGCAUAGAAUUUUUCAACGUGUUGAGCAUGUUUUCGCUCUCUCGGCUCAGUAUAUUUAUUCAGGUGCCCUAUAACUCGUUCAACAACUUUACGAUUCUGUAGUCUCUAAAAUAACUAUGAUGAUGACGAAGCAGGAUGGAGUAUUUCACCAAGAAACUUGUUCGUCGUUCAACAGGCUGGAAGAUGACGUAUAUCAUCGUUCGAUAAAUAAUAAUCGGUGCUCCGUUCACAUGAAUUUGUAAUACAAUGAAAUUUGUCGUGAAAACUUGUGGAUUUCUCUAAUUUUAUUUCAGUGAUUCUGUGAUUGAUUAUUCGUUUUCGUUAUUACUGAAUCGAGCCUCAAAAAAAUAAGUAAAUACAGUAAAAACCUCAAGUUUAUUCACAUCAAAUUCGUCACAAGUUUUUCCCCUCGAUAUAACGCCUGACCCACAUACGCAUAAAAUGGAUGCCCUCGAAAAAAUAUGAGGCUGAAGUUCCGACGAGUCGCAAUGAAUGGGACGAGAACGAAGCUUUCAUGAUUUUUCAUGUUUUAUUACAAAAUUGGGAUUUUUAUUUACACUUUUUCUCUUGGCUGUUUUAAUCCCCGUGAUAUUUUUCUCUGGGUUACUUUUUUGCAUUUCUUGUAUAAGUAAAUCUAAGUUUCAUAACAAAUAUUAGUCUAUUUUUGUUGUAAAUUCCUUAAGUCUUUAGUACUUUUGAAUCACGCUGUAUUCGUGAGCGUAGAGCCGUCAAAUAAAUAAUGCUGUAAGUA